rnacentral:rRNA from 1 species
GNGUGGAUCUUCCGCAUGGGUGAAACCUGNCGGAGCGACGCCGCGUGAGUGAAGAAGGCCGAUAUGGUUGUAAAGCUCUGUCCCUGGUGAAGAAAUCACCCUAAGCUAAUAGCUUAUGGUGUUGACGGUAACCAGGGUAGGAAGCCCUGGCCAACUACGUGCCAGCAGCCGCGGUAACACNGUAGAGGGCAAGCGUUGUCCGGAAUCACUGGGCGUAAAGGGCACGCAGGCGGUAAAGCAAGUCAUAUAUGAAAACUAAGGGCUUAACCCUUAGCUUGUAUAUGAAACUGUUUUACUUGAGGGUAGGAGAAGAGAACGGAAUUCCUGGAGUAGCGGUGGAAUGCGUAGAUAUCAGGGAGAACGCCAGUGGCGCAAGCGGUUCUCUAUCCUGACCCUGACGCUGAGGUGCGAAAGCCAGGAUAGCUAACGGGAUUAGAUACCCCGGUAGUCCUGGCCGUAAACAAUGGGCACUGAGUGUUGGAGGUGGAAAUCCUUCAGUGCUGCAGUUAACGCGUUAAGUGCCCCGCCUGGGGAUUACGGUCGCAAGACUGAAACUCAAAGGAAUUGACGGGGGCCCGCACAAGCGGUGGAGCAUGUGGUUUAAUUCGAUGCAACGCGAACAACCUUACCGAGGCUUGACCUAUCCGUGACUACCUGUGAAAGCAGGGGUUUGGGUGUUCAGCCACACGGUAGCAGGUGAUGCAUGGCUGUCGUCAGCUCGUGUCGNGAGAUGUUGGGUUAAGUCCCNNAACGAGCNCANCCCUUGUNCCUAGUUGCCAC